CAUGUUCUAUCAGUGAAAGGAUUGGAGACUGGUUCUAGUAGUGGUGGUUUGUUUGAUGAAUUUCUAGUGCCCAUGAUUUGCAAAGGGUUUCAGCCAGUACUGGCGUCUAGCAACCUUGAAGCCCACAGUUGACCUGCCUCCUAAUUUGUGUGAUGAGCAAAUGUGUAGAUUGUGUGUGUAAAUCGGAGAUGCCUUGGGUUAUGCCCUCGGAGAAGAUGGAUUGGUCUUGGUGAACGAGGUGGAGGUGAUCGAAGAGGCAAUAUGCUUAUAAAUCAUCUUCACAUCGGGUAUAUUUUUCUCGGCUAUGGGUGUACAUGAUAUGUUUGCCAAAACACUUGCAAAUUAUGGCACACUUACUGUGUUGCAAGAUGUCCUAUAAGGCUAUUAAGGCAGAUGAUCUUCUUUUCUCCAUUGUCCAAUAUUGAAGCUUUUGUUGCCCAUCAGCAUACACCUCAUCCAGGUUCAUUUCCUAUAUACUAGUUAGAUACUGCUUCAUAGUUGCUCUAGGUCUACUUUGAUUAGCGUCAUCUACUUGUCCCAUCAUCGACAAGGUUAUAUGAUUGCGAGAGAUUAAUAACUUUUGUGAUACGCGUUCAUUUAUUAACUAAAUCAUCAGCUUGCUCAAUAAUACUUUUGGGUACUCGUGUGGUGUUUAUGGCUGAUGAAAUACGCUUUGUUUAAUAGGACUGGAGACAUUUCUGAUGCUUAGGUCAAAACACCGGACCUAUUUCUUAUUUGUUUGUAAACUCAGUCCAGUAAUACAAGUUAGCAUUUUGUCUUAAUUGUUCUUGGAAUUAAAAAGGAAACCUUCUUGUUGUUCGUUCUACACCACUAAUCUGUUUAGCCAUCCUUGAGAAAGGCUCGACGGUUGGACGUGAAAACUAUAUUUGUUCUCCUUUUGCUUCUCUGGUUUAGUUUUAAAUUUAAUCUGGGUUGGCUGUUUGCAAUUGAAAAAAUGUUUGUUUCAUGGCUUCCUGUAAAUGUUGUUAGGCACUGUAGAAGCAGAAAUUUAGAAGGGAAUCACAUUACGGAAGAAGGUUCAUAGGAAUGGAGCAUCACUCCUUAGCACGUCUA